GGAGGAAGAAGAGGAGGAAGAGGAGGAAGAGGAAUAAGAAUAAGAAUGGCAGAUGAGAUAUUCACGCUACCUUGGUGAUUUAUCACUGAACACCCUUCUUUCCGAUAUUCUACUUUAAUCGGCUACUUGAUACAGAUUCUUCGGAUACAAAGAAGAGAGAGAUAGGCUGCAGCUGGGUAAAGUAAGCAGGAGAAAGCAGCAUGUCCUAGCUGUCUGGCAUGCGCCAGUGCACUGCGGCACCUGCGCAUGCGCAGUUCUGACCCGAUCACACCGCUGCGAUAAACUGCAGCGUGCGAUC